CCCGAAAGCCCCCCCAUCCUACCCUCUCCGUUCACCGCGCGAGGCAGCGGCAGCAGCAGCAGCUUCCCCCCCAAAGCCAGCCAGCCAAAUUCCCCUACCCACACAACUCCACUCCCCAGUUUUUUCCGGGUCAAAGGGUUAGGGUUUUGGGAUGUCGGAUCGGCAGCCGUCGGAGGAGCCGGAGGAGCAGGUGGACCUGGAGGGAGACGACGACGUCAUGGACGACGAGGAAGGGUACCGCCGCCGCCGCCACGGUGGCGAGGACUCUGAUGAACCGGAGGAGGAGCCCGAGGAGCCUCAAAUCGAGGUUGAGGGCGAUGGCGAUGGAGAUGGCCGGGAGGAGGACGCCGGUAUGGCCGUUGCGAGUGAUGAACCUGCCGCAGGAAGUGGUGACGAGAUGGAGAAGGGUGAUGGGCCUGAGGACGAAGAAGAGAAGAUGAAGUGGGACGAGCUCCUCGCACUACCCCCGCAGGGCUCGGAGGUAUUUGUCGGGGGCCUCCCCCGAGACACCACCGAGGAGGACCUCCGCGAGCUAUGCGAGCCAUUGGGCGAAAUCUUUGAGGUGAGGUUGAUGAAGGAUAAGGAAACAAAGGAAAACAAAGGAUUUGCAUUUGUCACAUUUACUGCCAAGGACGUGGCGCAGCGUGCUAUUGAAGAACUGCAUGACAAGGACCACAAGGGGAGAACACUGCGAUGCUCAUUGUCCCAGGCCAAGCACAGGUUAUUUGUUGGCAAUGUACCCAAAGGGUUGAGUGAGGACGAGCUGACAAGCAUAAUCAAAGGGAAGGGGCCAGGGGUCGUGAAUAUUGAGAUGUUCAAGGAUUUGCAUGAUCCAAGCCGUAACCGUGGGUUCCUCUUCGUUGAGUACUAUAACCAUGCUUGCGCAGACUAUGCCAGGCAGAAAUUGUCAUCACCAGACUUUAAGGUUGAUGGAAGCCAGUUGACUGUUAGCUGGGCUGAACCUAAGGGUUCAUCAUCGUCAUCAUCAGAUUCUUCUUCAUCUGCUGCUCAGGUGAAGACUAUAUAUGUGAAGAACCUGCCGGAGAAUGUUUCUAAAGAGAAAGUUAAGGAUCUCUUUGAAGUUCAUGGAGAGGUCACAAAAAUUGUUUUACCGCCUGCUAAGGCCGGGCAUAAGAGGGAUUUUGGGUUUGUUCACUUCGCUGAAAGAUCAAGUGCACUGAAGGCAGUUAAAGGAAGUGAAAAAUACGAAAUUGAUGGGCAAGUGCUCGAAGUUUCCAUGGCCAAACCUUUGAGUGAUAAAAAGCCUGACCACUCGUUCAAGCCUGGAGGAGCUCCUAGCUAUCCUCUUCCACCUUAUGGUGGCUACAUGGGAGACCCAUAUGGUGCCUAUGGUGGCGGCCCUGGAUUCAACCAGCCUAUGAUCUAUGGUAGAGGACCAGCACCAGCUGGAAUGAGGAUGGUACCGAUGGUGCUCCCUGAUGGCAACAACCUGGUGGAAUGCCGCCUCCACCACCUCCUCGACGUGGUGACCGGCGGGAUGGCGGUGGCCGAGGCGGCGAGGGAAGCCACCGGCGUUAUCGGCCCUACUAGUUUUUCCCUUGCCUUGCAUUUUUCGUCGUGCUAGGUGAUGGAUUUGUUAACUUUGAUGGAGUGCGUUUAGGAGCGGGUGUGGUUUCGCCCUGUAAGACUUUAUAGCCUUAGACUUGGUACUCUUCUGUUUUGUUUUUGAUAAACACCCGAGACUUGUACUGUUGCGCCGUCCUUUUCAAUAACUUGUGUAUCAUGCAGUGCUCGUGACAUCAAAACAAAGUGCAUCUCUUGCGUUCUAGUGGAACAUGCGGACAAUUUAUGUGAUAUAAUAACCCCUC
rnacentral:rRNA from 1 species